AGAAGCAGCCCAGCCAGGAACGAUGGAACACAACGUCUCUGACAAAGUAAUUAAACAAAAAAACCUCCCCACUGAACAAAUUCUGGGGGUGUAGAAAACCGGGGGUCCCUUGCUUUUCUUCUCUCUUCUCCUAUUGAUCCCAGCCUGUGCUUUCCAUCUGUAACUUGCUGCCGGGGGUGUGAAGGAGAAGGAAAGCAAGGCUACCGCAACAGGCGAAUUUUAUUUUUGCGCAGCCGGAGCCUCUCCUGUAGCUGGCUCAGGGACUCUGGCAGUGCCAGGGAGACCCAGCCUUGCAGCAGCUGCACAGCAGCCUGGCCCCGGCCCUGCCCUCCCCAACCAACACACACACACUUCCCUUUGGACUGAGCUGCGCCUUGAUAAGCCUGCCAAGAAUUGCAGUACAUGGAGUGGACACUGAAUUUGACUAGUCAAGAGGAAAGUCCGGGAACUCGGCGUUCUGAAGGGACUUUAAGGUCAGACAAACAGAAAGCUGGAAAGGAGCCGAAGCUGAUGGCGAAGAACCAGCCGAGUCUGAGCGAACAUGCUUCGUCAGAAUAACGCAUAGAGUGCUCUUGGAAGCCAAAACAGAAGCAGGUUCUCAGUUCACACUUUGUAAUUUACUGUUAGGCGCUCUUGGUCACAGGUGAAAUCUAGUAGGGCGAUCAGCGAUUGAGCGUGGAGAGGAAAGCUUAGCAGCGAGGAUAAAAUGGAGCGCGCUCUCACAGACUGUGGGCAGCUGGCAGGAGGGAAGUGAGGCUUCCCCCAUGCCCUCUCUGUUAUCCUCAAAGCCCGCAAAGUGAUCCUCAUCUGCCGGAAGAGAAGAAGUGCCGCCUCUCCCACCAGCUGCAGAGAAAGCGUGGAUUGAAGGAAAAGUGAUUAUUGCCUGAAAGUGACUGGGAAUCAUGGCUGGAUUUCAAAACACCAACUUUGCCGGUCACACUUGUAGCAGAAGAGCUAAAAUUCACACAUCUAACCGGUGAGUGGCUGGAGAGAUGGCUCAGAUGGAGAGCACUUGUUGCUCUUCUGAAGGAGUGGAGUUUGAGUUCCAGCACCCACAUGGAGCAACUAUAGUUCCAGAGGAUCAGCCCUUCCUCUGGCCUCUGUGAGCAUCUGCACACACACACACACACACACACACACACACACACACACACACAAAAUUUUAAAAUGAUAAUAAUUGUUGGUAGGGUUCUCAAACCAGUCUGUGUCAUGCUCUUGAGUCUUAUCUGACAGAUCAAAUCGUCACGAUAGACACAAGAAAGGACCCUGCCACGUUUACCCCAAUCCGUUCACUGAAAGGCUGAAACAACUGUCUCAGAAUAAAGGUCAGAGAGUGUGUGGUACUUCCUCGGCAUCAGAGAAAGCCCACUGCACAUCCCACCUUUCACUAAUCCCCCCGUGACUCUGAACUCACCAGUGCACUAGAGACAUGCUCCUUUCUCUUCCAGGAUGGCCUCCUGUGCUUUCAUCUGUCUUAUGUUUGUAGAGCUAAGUGUUUAGACGUGACAGCCGCUGUGGAACUCGCUUGGAGGCCUACAUAUUGCCAUAUGGCCUGAGCUGUGAAGACGCACUCCAGAGGGUCUGUGCUCUAGCUGAGGACACUUUCAAAGUAACCUCAAGUUACUGUAACAAUGGCCUUGGAAUUAGCAUUUCUGUCAUUCCAGGCAUCUUCUCUGCUUACCUCACUAAGGUUUUUCAGACCGUGAGCUGUGGCUCAUUAGACGUAGAGUCAAUCUCAUGACUUGUGACCUGUCUUUUAUAGAUAAAAAAGGAGAAAAUAGAAUAAGAAAAGGAAACAACACUACACACUGCUAACAACUUUCAUUUUGAAAUUUGUGUUUCAAUUAUAGUGUUCAACUACAUGUGUAUUAUACAUGUAUGUCUUUAUAUAUAUAUAAAAUCAGAAAAAUGUUAUUAAGUCUGUGUAUAACUUGAUACAGUCUCUGGUGUGGAAAUAUAAAAUAAAAUGAACACUAACUGUUCCAACAAAUAAUCCACCUUUACAAUAUGCUGGCCACACCUGAGUGCUCUCAGCACGUAGUCUACAUUUAUCAAGCCAAAGUUCUUGUAGGGUAACUCCAGCUUGCCUCACAUGCACCAGCCCCUCCCCCCACAAGUGUGAGCCCUGUCACUCUGUCCCCCCACCCCCAUUGGCAAGUUAAAACGAGUCUUCCUGCUCUCCCACUUAUGGCAAGGACUGCCUUCAAGCUAGUGUCUCAGCAUUGUCUCAGGUGCCCGCAAGGUCUUCUGGGAGAAGACUGCCUAGCUGGUCCUGCCCAUUCCCAUGCCCAAGAGUGGUGGGAAUCCUUACCCUGUGCCCCACUUGUCUUUUAGGAUGACUUAUUAUACAUCUUUAUAAUAUUUGUAGGUGGGAAAUCAGGUAUAUGUUCAGGAUUAAAAAAAAUAUUUGAGUGAGUUUCUUAGACGAACUGAAACUCUCACCUUGUCCUAAUUGCAAAAUAGUGGAACAAGCUAACAUGGAACAAAAUAGGACACAAUAAAGUAAGAACGAGCUUCAGGGCCAGCUCACCUCUGAGUUCAGCAGGACCUGGAUGGUCUAAAUGGAGCAGGUGUAUGGCCAGAACCCCAUGGUACCCUCUGUUUGCUUUAUGUCUCACCACCCUAGGCUCUUCUUAGGACAAGAACUCAAUUCUUUGUGUCUCUUCAUUUAACAUCAGAAGAGUUUUUGAAGGACUCUGGAUGUGGUAGAGGAUAAGGCUGCCAUUGUGGCAUGGAGCAGGACCUGGCAUUUUGUGAAUUAGGUGAGGUCCAGGCCAACCAAGGCUGUACAGGGACACCCUGUCUCAAAACCAAACAAAACCAAUGAUAAAAGAUGGGUCCGAGAGAUUGGUAGGAUCAACACUUUCCACUCUUAUUUGGUUUUAGUUUAGUUUUCCUGAGCUUUGUUCCUAUUUGAGCUACUUUGCCUUUAAGGAAAAUAAGUGUUCUUAAAUAGUGAUAUAUUUGUGUUUUUCAUCAGCAUUUUAAAAUUGCAGGGAAACAUAAGUAAUUUAGUGUACUUUCAGAAAAGUCACCUCAGAUUCAUAUGCAUAUAGGUAAAAAAAAAGAUUGUGAGCUAAGCUGGAGAGUUAUCAAAUAUAAAUGUGAUUUUUAAGACAAGCCCUCCUGGAGCUUAAGCAUGGCCCUUUUUCAUUUGCAGGUACCUACUGUUUCUGCUGCAUAAUCCUUCCUAUAGCUCAGUUGAGAAGCAUUGUCUCUGCUCAGGCUAAUUUUACCAACAAAACAUUUCAGAGUGUCAAGGCUGGGCUAAUUCCAGCACUCCAGAGGCAGAGGCAGAUCUGUGUGUUCUAGGCCACCCUUGUCUACAGAGUGAGUUCCAGAACCGCCAAGGCUACAGAGAAACUCUGUCUCAAAAGAAGAAGUCUUUCAGAGGCUCUCUGUGGUAUGCUCCUGUCCUGUUCCCUGUUUUCUCCUUCCAAGGUCUAUUCCAUUUGCCUUUCUGAAUGAGGAUUGUGCAUCUUACCCAGGGUCCUCCUUCUUGAUUAGCGUCUUUAGGUGUACAGAUUUAGCAUGAUUAUCCUAUAUUACAUGUCUAAUAUCUACUUAUAAGUGAGUAUAUACCGUGUGUGUCUUCCUCCUUUUGGGAUACCUCACUCAGGAAUGAUCUUUCCUAGUUCCCACCAUUUGCCUGCAAAUUUCAUGAUUUCCUUGUUUUUAAUUGCUGAGUAGUAUUCCAUUGUGUAAUUGUACCACAAUUUCUGUAUCAAUUCCUUAAUUGAGGGACAGCUGGUUUGUUUCCAGAUUCUGGCUAUUAUGAAUAAAGUUGCUACAAAUAUGGUUGAGCAAA